UCUUGAUGAACGCUAGCUACAGGCUUAACACAUGCAAGUCGAGGGGCAGCAUGGUCUUAGCUUGCUAAGGCCGAUGGCGACCGGCGCACGGGUGAGUAACGCGUAUCCAACCUGCCUUACACUCUUGGACAGCCUUCUGAAAGGGAGAUUAAUACAAGAUGUUAUCAUGAGUAAGCAUUUUCGCAUGAUUAAAGGUUUACCGGUGUAAGAUGGGGAUGCGUUCCAUUAGAUAGUAGGCGGGGUAACGGCCCACCUAGUCUUCGAUGGAUAGGGGUUCUGAGAGGAAGGUCCCCCACAUUGGAACUGAGACACGGUCCAAACUCCUACGGGAGGCAGCAGUGAGGAAUAUUGGUCAAUGGACGAGAGUCUGAACCAGCCAAGUAGCGUGAAGGAUGAAGGUUCUAUGGAUUGUAAACUUCUUUUAUACGGGAAUAAACGAAUCCACGCGUGGAUUUUUGCAUGUACCGUAUGAAUAAGGAUCGGCUAACUCCGUGCCAGCAGCCGCGGUAAUACGGAGGAUCCGAGCGUUAUCCGGAUUUAUUGGGUUUAAAGGGAGCGUAGAUGGGUUGUUAAGUCAGUUGUGAAAGUUUGCGGCUCAACCGUAAAAUUGCAAUUGAUACUGGCAGUCUUGAGUACAGUUGAGGUAGGCGGAAUUCGUGGUGUAGCGGUGAAAUGCUUAGAUAUCACGAAGAACUCCGAUUGCGAAGGCAGCUUACUAACCUGUAACUGACAUUGAUGCUCGAAAGUGUGGGUAUCAAACAGGAUUAGAUACCCUGGUAGUCCACACGGUAAACGAUGAAUACUCGCUGUAGGCGAUAUACAGUCUGCGGCCAAGCGAAAGCAUUAAGUAUUCCACCUGGGGAGUACGCCGGCAACGGUGAAACUCAAAGGAAUUGACGGGGGCCCGCACAAGCGGAGGAACAUGUGGUUUAAUUCGAUGAUACGCGAGGAACCUUACCCGGGCUUAAAUUGCAACCGAAUAUGGCGGAAACGCUAUAGCUAGCAAUAGCGGUUGUGAAGGUGCUGCAUGGUUGUCGUCAGCUCGUGCCGUGAGGUGUCGGCUUAAGUGCCAUAACGAGCGCAACCCUUGCCGAUAGUUACUAACAGGUUAUGCUGAGGACUCUGUCGGGACUGCCAUCGUAAGAUGUGAGGAAGGUGGGGAUGACGUCAAAUCAGCACGGCCCUUACGUCCGGGGCUACACACGUGUUACAAUGGGGGGUACAGAGGGCUGCUACCACGCAAGUGGAUGCCAAUCCCAAAAACCUCUCUCAGUUCGGAUUGAAGUCUGCAACCCGACUUCAUGAAGCUGGAUUCGCUAGUAAUCGCGCAUCAGCCACGGCGCGGUGAAUACGUUCCCGGGCCUUGUACACACCGCCCGUCAAGCCAUGGGAGCCGGGGGUACCUGAAGUGCGUAACCGCAAGGAGCGCCCUAGGGUA
rnacentral:rRNA from 1 species